rnacentral:lncRNA from 1 species
GGUCCCUCCCACAAUACAUGGGAAUUAUGGGAGUAAAAUUCAAGAUGAAAUUUGGGUGGGGACACAGAGCCAAACCAUAUCAAUAUCCAAAACAAAAGACAUAUUGAAGAUAUAUCUAUACUCCCAUAUUUAUUGCAGCGCUAUUCACAUAGCCAAAACAUGAAAUCAACCUAAGUGUCCAUCAAUGGGUGAAUGAAUAAAGAAAAUGUGGUAUAUAUACACAAUGGAAUAUUAUUCUGCCAUAAAAAGGUUGAAAUCAUGUUAUCUGCAGCAAGAUGGAUGGAACUGGAGGUGAUGUUAAGUGAAAUAAGCCAAACACAGAAAGACAAAUAUCACAUGUUCUCAUUCCUAUGUAGGAGCUAAAAAAGUGGAUCUCAUGAAGAUAGAGAGUAGAUUGGUAGUUACCAGAGGCCAAGAAGGGUAGGGGGAAAUGAAGAGAGGUUGAUUAAUGGGUACAAACAUACAGUUUGAUAAAAGAAACAAGACCUAGUGUUUGAUAGGUCAGUAGAAUGCCUAUAGUUUACAAUAAUUUACUGUGUAUUUCAAAAUCACUAGAAUAAUUCAAAUGUUUCUACCAUAAAGACAAAUAUUUAAUGUGACAGAUAUCCCAGUUACACAGAUUUGCUCCUUAUAAUUACACAAAUGUAUUACAUUAUCACAUGGACCCUCAAAAUAUGCACAUCACUAUGUAUCAAUCAAAAAUUAAAAUUAAAAAACCCUAAAACUGAAAUUUUCUGCAGCUCAAAGUUCUAGAAGCAUGUUAAAAUACAGAACAUGUGUAAGUCUUCCUAAGUUGCCUCAGAACCAGUGAUUUCAUUUAUGUCGGAGGGUGUGUGUGCGGGUCUAGAAUGCAAUACAAAGCUGUUAGUGUGGCAGUGAAUUCUCAGUUACUGGAGAUCAACUUUAGAACACCCAGAGGCACCUAGCAAAGGUCUGUUUUCAGAAGAGUGUGUGUGGGGUGGGGGAGUAAUGGGGGCACAGCUCUGAAGUGAAGAUGCAACUUCCAACAAAUGAAUGCCAAAGUGUGAAAAGUUCUUGAGAAUGAUCUCCAGCCAACUCCUAUUGGCUGGUGGACUCUAUAAAAGGUCUACAAAAAUAUACCUUUUUAGGGUAUCUGCUUACCACCUGAGUAAGUAAAAGUUGAGAGACAUGAGCAAAGCAACCUAAGGAUGCAAGAAGGGCCUUACAGGGAGGAGGGAUGGGGAUGGGAGCAGGCCUGAGAAUGGCUGCAAGCUGACCAAGUGGAAGCUUUGAGCACCACACAUCCCAGCAGCCUUGAGAAGCAGGUAGGCAAGUCUCCUCAUACCAGCAAGGAGGCGCUCGUAGCAUUAAGAACGUUGUCUGAGGAAGUUCCGGCUUCUCCAAUAACCCCCUGAGGGAUGUAGGGGUGGAGCUGUGUGGUGUAAGCCCAGCACCACCUGAGCCACAAGGGAGCUGUGGACCAUCUUCCAGAGUCUCAAUUUUCUAAACUCAUUUGAUGGGUGAUAAUCUUAAAACAUUUUCUCUUAAACAAGCAGUAGCUUAUAGAGUAGGAAAUAAAAUUCAUACAAAAUUAUCUGUAAAGACACAAAACGAGAGAAAUAUGACUUUUGCUCUCCUGGCCACUCUGAGCUGGAUCCCAGACCCCAGGAGACAGAAGGGACUCUGCUUUGAAUGCUAUGACCUGACUCCUGGCCCUGCAUAUGGUGAGGAGGAGGGAGAUGGGAAGACGUUCGAAUGGUCUGGGGCAGGCUGGGAACAGAGUAGCAGAUCUUCUGAUAUCAGAGGCUAGAGCCAUUAAGAGACAGAAGCUAGGGGCAGCCUGUCUUUGGGGAGGAAGCCACCGACACCCAGCAUCUCUUCAGAAGGGUUCACAGUUGUCUGGACUCAAGCAGCUUGCAGGACCAGGUGCCUUAAUUCUCUGUCCCUCACUACUGGCAUCCACAGAGAGGUCUCCGCCUAGCAGCAG